CAAAGACUCUUACUGAAGUAGAAGUGGUGGUUGAGUUCAAUGACCAUGCUGCACCUGGAGAAACCCCACAGGCUAGUGAUGUGGCAAAAACAUUAGGAAAUGCUGUGUCCAAUCCCAACAACACCUUCAAUCUCACUGUUGAUUCCACUACCAUCCAAGCAGUUGUAUUGAAUGAAACAAAUCCAACAGCUGUGGUCCCCAACCUGACUACUACGGAAGCCACUCAACAAACACCCAUCAGUGCUACACCAGCUCCAACAACAGAGACUACAGCAGCUACUUCGACUGCUUCAGGAACCACAACAUUUGUUCUUGUCUCAGCUGUCUUGAAUACACCAUAUGAACCACAACUCAAUGACAGCAGCAGUGUUGAGUUCAAGACUCUUGAAACAGAAGUUGUACAAAUUGUGAGUACCAUGUCAAAAUGGUUACGUGGCUUCAUAAAUGCCCAAGUGGAUGAAUUCAACGUGACAAUCUUGAUUAUUGUAUUUAGAUAAUGAAACAUUUGUAAUAUGUUUGCACUUUUCUAUCUGCUUUCCUCCCUCAGUGGGACAUCGUCUACAGUGCCAGAUAUUAUUAUCUUUUUGUCCGUGCCUAUGUCGUAGAAUUCAGGUAAGGUUUUAACUUAUUUUUCGCUUUAUUGUAGGUGCUGUUCUCCAGUAUCAUGAGUGUUGUAUUCCAAAGAACCCCAUUUCAUGGAGCAAUUGCACACAUCAUUAAUGACUGUCAAUAUGAUGUCCUUGAAAUGUUCUGCUGUUUUUUGCAGACAAUAUGUCACAACAACAACAACAACAAAGACUCUUACUGAAGUAGAAGUGGUGGUUGAGUUCAAUGACCAUGCUGCACCUGGAGAAACCCCACAGGCUAGUGAUGUGGCAAAAACAUUAGGAAAUGCUGUGUCCAAUCCCAACAACACCUUCAAUCUCACUGUUGAUUCCACUACCAUCCAAGCAGUUGUAUUGAAUGAAACAAAUCCAACAGCUGUGGUCCCCAACCUGACUACUACGGAAGCCACUCAACAAACACCCAUCAGUGCUACACCAGCUCCAACAACAGAGACUGCA